GACGAACGCUGGCGGCGUGCUUAACACAUGCAAGUCGAACGGAAAGGCCUGCUUUCCCUUGUGGAUUGCGGGUACUCGAGUGGCGAACGGGUGAGUAACACGUGAGUGAUCUGCCCCCAACUUGGGUAUAAGCCUGGGAAACUGGGUCUAAUUCCCGAUAGGACUGCAGGGUGGUGCCUGUGGUGGAAAACGAUUUUCUAGUGGUUGGGGAUGAGCUCGCGGCCUAUCAGCUUGUUGGUGGGGUAAUGGCCUACCAAGGCGGCGACGGGUAGCCGGCCUGGGAGGGUGGACGGCCACAUUGGGACUGAGAUACGGCCCAGACUCCUACGGGAGGCAGCAGUGGGGAAUAUUGCACGAUGGGCGGAAGCCUGAUGCAGCGACGCCGCGUGGGGGAUGACGGCCUUCGGGUUGUAAACUCCUUUCGACCGCGAGGAAGCCACCUGGUUGGAAGGGUGGUGACGGUAGUGGUAGAAGAAGCACCGGCUAACUACGUG
rnacentral:rRNA from 1 species